GACGAACGCUGGCGGCGUGCUUAACACAUGCAAGUCGAACGGAAAGGCCCUGCUUUUGUGGGGUGCUCGAGUGGCGAACGGGUGAGUAACACGUGAGUAACCUGCCCUUGACUUUGGGAUAACUUCAGGAAACUGGGGCUAAUACCGGAUAGGAGCUCCUGCUGCAUGGUGGGGGUUGGAAAGUUUCGGCGGUUGGGGAUGGACUCGCGGCUUAUCAGCUUGUUGGUGGGGUAGUGGCUUACCAAGGCUUUGACGGGUAGCCGGCCUGGGAGGGUGACCGGCCACAUUGGGACUGGGAUAGGGCCCGGACUCAUACGGGAGGCAGCGGUGGGGAAUAUUGCACAACGGGCGGAAGCGUGAUGCAGCAACGCCGCGUGCGGGAUGACGGCCUUCGGGUAGUAAACGGCUUUCGCCUGUGACGAAGCGUGAGUGACGGAAAUGGGUAAAGAAGCACCGGCUAACUACGU
rnacentral:rRNA from 1 species